UAUAAGGGAUUUUGAGUUUUUACUUGUAACGUUUGAUCACUCGUCUUAUUCAAAUUUUUUUGAAAUUAUUAUUUAUUUUAUUUGUGACUUACUUUAUUAUCCACAGUACUUUAAGCACAACUUUUCAUUUUUUUAUAUUUGCAAAAAAAAAAUUUGAAUAAGACGAGCGGUCAAACGUUGCAAACAAAAAACUCAAA
rnacentral:pre_miRNA from 1 species